GCCCAGCGCCGCGGCUGCGCAGGCGGAAUCUGGGUCUCCACUUCCCAGACGGCACCAGGCCGCGCUAUCUCUAGCGCUGCCUCAUUUCCCAGCAUUCCUCUCGAGGCGGGCCAGACGGCCUCGAGUGCGGCCGGGUAGCUGCCGGAAGAAAUCGGAGACUCCUCCUUGAGGGAACAUCUGCGCGGGCAUGCUUCUGGAUUGGCCCCAGAAUUGACAUCUCUGGGUUAGCCUUGGUCUGAGGAUAAUCUCCCAUUUGAUAGCUGCCAUGACUCCACUAUAUUAUUCCUAGAAGAACAAGCAGUGUCUUCCACAGAGCUCUCUCUUCUUCAGCAGAACCUGUUUAGGGCGCUAUGGAGAGUACUGGCCUGGAGUCAGGAAG